UCUGGAAAGGCGUGCGAUACAGGGUGACAGCCCCGUACACAAAAAUGCACAUAUUGUGAGCUUGAUGAGUAGGGCGGGACACGUGGUAUCCUGUCUGAAUAUGGGGGGACCAUCCUCCAAGGCUAAAUACUCCUGACUGACCGAUAGUGAACCAGUACCGUGAGGGAAAGGCGAAAAGAACCCCGGCGAGGGGAGUGAAAAAGAACCUGAAACCGUGUACGUACAAGCAGUGGGAGCACGCUUAGGCGUGUGACUGCGUACCUUUUGUAUAAUGGGUCAGCGACUUAUAUUCUGUAGCAAGGUUAACCGAAUAGGGGAGCCGAAGGGAAACCGAGUCUUAACUGGGCGUUAAGUUGCAGGGUAUAGACCCGAAACCCGGUGAUCUAGCCAUGGGCAGGUUGAAGGUUGGGUAACACUAACUGGAGGACCGAACCGACUAAUGUUGAAAAAUUAGCGGAUGACUUGUGGCUGGGGGUGAAAGGCCAAUCAAACCGGGAGAUAGCUGGUUCUCCCCGAAAGCUAUUUAGGUAGCGCCUCGUGAAUUCAUCUCCGGGGGUAGAGCACUGUUUCGGCAAGGGGGUCAUCCCGACUUACCAACCCGAUGCAAACUGCGAAUACCGGAGAAUGUUAUCACGGGAGACACACGGCGGGUGCUAACGUCCGUCGUGAAGAGGGAAACAACCCAGACCGCCAGCUAAGGUCCCAAAGUCAUGGUUAAGUGGGAAACGAUGUGGGAAGGCCCAGACAGCCAGGAUGUUGGCUUAGAAGCAGCCAUCAUUUAAAGAAAGCGUAAUAGCUCACUGGUCGAGUCGGCCUGCGCGGAAGAUGUAACGGGGCUAAACCAUGCACCGAAGCUGCGGCAGCGACGCUUAUGCGUUGUUGGGUAGGGGAGCGUUCUGUAAGCCUGCGAAGGUGUGCUGUGAGGCAUGCUGGAGGUAUCAGAAGUGCGAAUGCUGACAUAAGUAACGAUAAAGCGGGUGAAAAGCCCGCUCGCCGGAAGACCAAGGGUUCCUGUCCAACGUUAAUCGGGGCAGGGUGAGUCGACCCCUAAGGCGAGGCCGAAAGGCGUAGUCGAUGGGAAACAGGUUAAUAUUCCUGUACUUGGUGUUACUGCGAAGGGGGGACGGAGAAGGCUAUGUUGGCCGGGCGACGGUUGUCCCGGUUUAAGCGUGUAGGCUGGUUUUCCAGGCAAAUCCGGAAAAUCAAGGCUGAGGCGUGAUGACGAGGCACUACGGUGCUGAAGCAACAAAUGCCCUGCUUCCAGGAAAAGCCUCUAAGCAUCAGGUAACAUCAAAUCGUACCCCAAACCGACACAGGUGGUCAGGUAGAGAAUACCAAGGCGCUUGAGAGAACUCGGGUGAAGGAACUAGGCAAAAUGGUGCCGUAACUUCGGGAGAAGGCACGCUGAUAUGUAGGUGAAGUCCCUUGCGGAUGGAGCUGAAAUCAGUCGAAGAUACCAGCUGGCUGCAACUGUUUAUUAAAAACACAGCACUGUGCAAACACGAAAGUGGACGUAUACGGUGUGACGCCUGCCCGGUGCCGGAAGGUUAAUUGAUGGGGUCAGCGCAAGCGAAGCUCUUGAUCGAAGCCCCGGUAAACGGCGGCCGUAACUAUAACGGUCCUAAGGUAGCGAAAUUCCUUGUCGGGUAAGUUCCGACCUGCACGAAUGGCGUAAUGAUGGCCAGGCUGUCUCCACCCGAGACUCAGUGAAAUUGAACUCGCUGUGAAGAUGCAGUGUACCCGCGGCAAGACGGAAAGACCCCGUGAACCUUUACUAUAGCUUGACACUGAACAUUGAGCCUUGAUGUGUAGGAUAGGUGGGAGGCUUUGAAGUGUGGACGCCAGUCUGCAUGGAGCCGGCCUUGAAAUACCACCCUUUAAUGUUUGAUGUUCUAACGUGGACCCGUGAUCCGGGUUGCGGACAGUGUCUGGUGGGUAGUUUGACUGGGGCGGUCUCCUCCUAAAGAGUAACGGAGGAGCACGAAGGUUGGCUAAUCCUGGUCGGACAUCAGGAGGUUAGUGCAAUGGCAUAAGCCAGCUUGACUGCGAGCGUGACGGCGCGAGCAGGUGCGAAAGCAGGUCAUAGUGAUCCGGUGGUUCUGAAUGGAAGGGCCAUCGCUCAACGGAUAAAAGGUACUCCGGGGAUAACAGGCUGAUACCGCCCAAGAGUUCAUAUCGACGGCGGUGUUUGGCACCUCGAUGUCGGCUCAUCACAUCCUGGGGCUGAAGUAGGUCCCAAGGGUAUGGCUGUUCGCCAUUUAAAGUGGUACGCGAGCUGGGUUUAGAACGUCGUGAGACAGUUCGGUCCCUAUCUGCCGUGGGCGCUGGAGAACUGAGGGGGGCUGCUCCUAGUACGAGAGGACCGGAGUGGACGCAUCACUGGUGUUCGGGUUGUCAUGCCAAUGGCACUGCCCGGUAGCUAAAUGCGGAAGAGAUAAGUGCUGAAAGCAUCUAAGCACGAAACUUGCCCCGAGAUGAGUUCUCCCUGACCCUUUAAGGGUCCUGAAGGAACGUUGAAGACGACGACGUUGAUAGGCCGGGUGUGUAAGCGCAGCGAUGCGUUGAGCUAACCGGUACUAAUGAACCGUGAGGCUUAACCUUACAACGCCGAAG
rnacentral:rRNA from 1 species